CCCCUCGACGACGAAGAGUUGAUCGCGUACAUUCUGCGAGGCCUCGGCAGCGAGUACGACCACUUGGUGACCAGCAUCACGACCCGCACCGACUCCUUCACGCUCAGCGACGUCUACGCCCACAUGCUGAGCUACGAGA
rnacentral:snoRNA from 1 species